UGGCUCAGUCGGUAGAGCAUGGGACUCUUAAUCCCAGGGUCGGGGGCUCGAGCCUCAC
rnacentral:tRNA from 1 species